AGACACAUGAACAAACGAACCAGAUGAGACACAUGAACAAAGGUUUGUUCAUGUGUCUUAUCUGGUUCGUUUGUUAAUGUGUCUCA
rnacentral:pre_miRNA from 1 species